UGCUGGCCCCCAGCAAGAGGGUAAGGCAAGACCCAGCCAGAAACGUCACCUGGCUGCCUUCUCACUGUCCUUUCCUCUCACCUGGCCUGGAAUUUCCACCAUCAAACUCCCUAAUGGAGUAAAGAAGCACACUGGGGGGCUCUAGAAGAGGACCAUGAGCAGAGGGGACCAGGUGGAAAGACGGUGUGUGGACUGAUGUGUGCUGUUAAAAGCAAUGAAUUAGAUCUGCCAGGGGCUUCCAGAGGCCUUCUCCUUUUCAGGGCUUUCUUUGGGUCCACAGGCUGGCAGCAACCUCUUGUAGAGAAGCUUCUGAGGCUCAGGGUGAUGAGCUCCUUGCCCCCAUGAAAUGCUCUGCUCUCUUCUCUUUUCCUUGCCGUCCCCGGGGCUGGAGGAGCACAGGCCUCCCCAGGCACCGGGCCUCAGCUUUGCUGCACUCCCAUCUCCUUCCAAGGGUUGAGGCCGGGUGGCCAGAAAUGGGAGCUCCCCAGCCUCCCGCUGCCCGGCCAGCUCUGUCUGGACAACCUGCAGGCACCUCACGGUGACGCCCAACCCCACUGUCACAGGCCGACGGGUCCCUUCUCCUCUGCACCCCCCGGACCCCAUCAGUCUGGACUCCUUGGAACAGCCCCUCCCACCCGGGCCUGGCCGCCCACCCUGGGCAGGCCCAAGGCACAUUCCCACACUUCUCAGUUCCCCUUCGUGCUUGGAAAAGCUCCAACGCCAAUGGCUGCCACCAUGCUGCCCAUCCCUCCUGAGGGUGGUUUCUCUGGGCGUCCUGCAUCUUCCCAGGAGCCAAGGAAUCUGGGGUGGACGGUGGAACUUGGGGCACCUGGGGACUUUGGAGGGCAUGUUUCUGGACAGGAGGACCCAGCCACUGCUCUCCUUGGGUUGGUGUGGGGGACAGGCCCUCGUGCGGUGCAGAGGGACACUGGGCCUGAGGCCGCGGCACACCCGGCUUAAGAAGUGGCAGGCUGGAUGGUCUUGCAGCAGGAGACCGCUCCGAGGAGAGACAACAGGCCACAUAAGUGACACUCAUUACUAAUAACAGACCAACUCCCUCACAUUGGUGCAGAGGUUUCCAGUUGACAUCAGUCAGAUCUUUCCAUCCCCAGAACGAGCCUAUCCCAUGACCACCAUCAUAAAGUGGAAACCGAGGCUCAGAGGGGAAACCACGUGUACGGGGCCCCAUAGCUAGAGAGCGUCUGGAUUGGGAUUCAAGGUUUCUUAACACCCUAUUCCCUCUUCUCCCUGACUGCCUUUGGUUCCAUCUUGUACCCCAGUCUCCCUACUGGCAGGACCGAAGUCUCCUAGCACUGUGACAAGAGCGAAAGCAGGGCUGGUCUGAUGCUUGAGAGAGAAGCAGGCUUUGGACGGCAUAGUUGCCAGAUGGCCACCCCUGGUCAGGUGUCAGUGCCCAGUGCCCCCGCCUCCCGCCAAGUCCCAGCUGAGCAGAAGCCCUGGCCUGAGCCCCGCUCUGCCAUAGCCAGAUGGCUGGUUGAGUUUCUCCUAACCUCUCUGAGCCUCAGAGCCCCCUCCUGUGAAAUUGGCAUUUCACAAACACCAAACACCUACUUGGUGCCAGUUCUAUGCUGGGUGCAAGCUGCCUCUGAAGCUACAGCAUGACCCCUGGUUACAGUCCUGGGUAGGAGGCAGAUGAGUUACAAAAUUCUGGGAGCUCCCAGAUGGAAACUGAGGCCUUGGGACACGGAAAGGGAGUGAUGGUGCUCCCAGGGUGCGGAGGGGUAUCACUUGGGAUGGGCCCAAAGGACAGGAAAGAGUUCUCCAGAAAAAGCAUGGGGGACAGACUCUCAUGCUGAGUCACACUCCUGUGCUUUGUAGUUCCCACGGCCUGAGUGCCCUUCCUUCCUCUGGGCCUGGUGAACUCCUACCCAUCCGUCAGGGCCCAUGGGCACACUGGAGAAUGACCAGGCCUGGCCUGGCCUGGUGGCUCCUUACCUUCUUUCUCCCACCCAGAGCCUAAGCAGAGCCUGAGGCCAGGAGUCUUUGGUCACAACACCCUCGCCGGCCCCACCCGGGCAGGCGUCUGCUCCCGGGUUCCAGCCCCCGCCGUCCCCUGCUCCGAAAAGCACCAUUUCCCUUUUCUGGGUGACCACACGCCAUGCACAGGGAAUUUCCAUCGCAGCCUGCGGAGCCUCUGAUUCACUCAGGCCCCUCAUGCAGUUAACUCCUUCCAGGCCCCGCGCCUUUAGCUCCGCACCCUGGGUGGUACCCCACCCCCACCCAGGGCCCCUGGGUGGCCUCAAACUGGCCUUGGGCCACAGCUCGGAAGUCGAAGUUUCUCCCUAGCCCUACGCCUCAGGAUCCUCCCGUCAUAUGCACAGAGACCUCUUCCCAAGGACUCACGGCAUACACACUGGGCAGCCUUGGGCCCAGAGCACAGGCUUUGGGGUAAAACAAGCCUGGGUCCAGUGCUGAGUCUGGCUCUUUCAGUCCUGUGACCUGGAAAAGAGUCCGCUCUGAGCCCCAUUUCUCAUCUGUGAAAUGGAGAUCAUCCCUGUCCCAUAGCCUCGCUGUAAGGAUCCAAUGUGCUGGGCCCGUGAGGACGGUUGUAUAAUUAUUACCUUUCCUUUUUCUUUUCAAAGGGCCCCUCUCAUCCAAUCUCAAGGUCCCUGCUCCAGUCCUGGGCCCCUUUUCUGUCUGGCUUUCCCCUCCUGAGAGCUGACUGCUCACACAGGGAGGGUGAGAGAGAAGUGCCAGGGGGGGCAGAGGAGGGAGGGGUGCUAUUGUCCUGGGGCUCUCCUCCAGCAGCUUCCUGGCUCCCCGCAUUUCUCUUUUCCCAAGGAAGCUGUGAAGAGGACCUCUGCUGGGAUCUUGAGCCCGCAGGGACAGGGUGAGCCUUCCUCCCUCUGGAAGAACGCCGGGUGUGCCCCCCCCCCUCCCCGCACACGAACAUCAUACAUGAUGUCUUGUGGAAUUCUCACAACCUCGUGAGGUACAGCCUGUUAUUGCCCCCAUUUUAAAGGUGGGGACACGUAGGCCCUAAGAAGGGACUUGCCCUCAGCUACACAGCGACUAAAGGGCAGGGACAGGAUUCAAAUCAAGGUCUCCAGAGCCACACUCCUAAACCUUCACAGGUCCCAGUAAGCGUGUGUGGAGGCCAAUGAGGGAAACGGGCACUAAAUGAACCCCUCCUGUAUAUUAGGUAAAGACCGACAAAUUAUCCUUUCAGUCCUUUGAACGAUUCUGGGAGGCGAGUCUCGCUGACCCCUCUGUGGAAUCGAGUUGUCUGAGCUUCCCUAAGGGGAAGGAACUUGCUCAGAGGCCACACAGCCAAUCGUGGGGAAGGAUCCAGGGGUACCUAGGGAGAGAAGGAUGGUGGAGGGGCUGCAUGGAGAAGGGGCCUACACCUGGAGGAGAAGCCAUCCUAUCUUCAGAGAGCAAACGGGGUUGGGGGGGGUUGCUGGGAGGUGCUGCCGUGGUGAGCAGAAGGAAGUCACUGUGGGUGGCGGUGGGUUUGAGGUGCCGGAGGCUGAGUGAUGUGGCCGGGAGGUGAGCUCCCAGGCUGCAGGCCUGGUCAGCAAGAGUCAGGGGUGAGGAGGGAUGGCCGAGAUUUGGGCCUUAGAGGAGGUUGGGCUACUCGGUGCUUCUUGGUUGCUGGGGCUGGGGAGCUGGAGGCAGGGGUUGGUGCAGAGCAAGAGGAGAGAUUCAGGGGGGCUGGGGAGAGACGGAGGUAAGGGGGGAAGGGUGUGUCUGGAGGGCAGCCUGGAGGAGGAGAGCCCACAAAAGACAGAGGCCUUAGGGUGUGGAAGGGGUGGGCCUGUGAGCAAGGCCUGGGAGAUUGAGAAAGAGGUUCUGGGAAUGUUGAGUAGUGUCUUCUGGUUGGAGGUGGGGGUGGGGCUGGUCCACAUGGAUGGGAGAGGGUGCAAAGGCGGGCUGGACCCUGGGUGUUGGGGGCUCCAGCAUAGGCGACAGAGCUGGACUGCACCCUGUGGACAAGCAAGAACCGAGGAGGAUUUUUAGGCAGAGAAAUAUCCAUGGGAGAGACUUGAGGAAGGGACAGCAGCCCCAGGACCACUGCAGUCACCUCCCACCCACUCACCAGCUGUGUGUCCUUGGGUACGCCCCCCCCCCCCCCUCGCCAGAGCCUCUGGCCUCAUUUCCCAUGCCUGCCUCAUAGGAUUAUGUGAGGGUGGAACAAGUUAAUGCCUGCUCUUUCCCCUUGCCUUUGUCUUUUAAAGUUUAUUAUUAUUUUUUUAAGUUUAUUUAUUUUUGAGAGGGAGAGAGCGUGCAAGCAGGGGAGGGGCAGAGAGAGGCAGACGCAGAAUCUGAAACAGGCUCCAGGCUCUGAGCUGUCAGCACAGAGCUGCAUGUGGGGCUCGAACUCACAAACUGCGAGAUCACCACCUGAGCUGAAGUCGGACGCUUAACCGACUGAGCUACCCAGGCGUCCCUCACAAGCACUUUCUGAGCGCCUGAGAGAAGGCACCCUUCGCAGGCACCUCCUUUUCACUCAGUCACAAUGAAAUUUCACACAAGGUCUGCCACUAAGCCCUACCUGCCCCAGCCCCUCACACUCUCCCCUCCCGGCACACCAGCCCCCUGCUGGUCCUGGCUCAUACUUUGCAGGGCUGGGGUCCCUGCCCAGAGCUCUUCUCCCAGAGAUCUGCUCAGCUCACUCCCUCACUGGCUCCCAGAGUUUGUUCAGAUCUCCCCUUCUUGGUGGGCAUGGCCUGCCCUGCCUUAGCCAGCUGGCCGCUCUUUUCCUAUAGUGCUGUUACCUGCUAACCUGCAGUGAGAUGCCCUCAAAGACGUGCUCAGCCCUGUCUUUCUUGCUCCAGAACAAACCCCACAAGGGCAGGAGUCUUUGCCUCUUUGGGUCUCCCGGCCCACAGAGGCCCUGAGUAAAUAUUUGUUGGAGGUUCUCAGGCCCUAAAGAGCCAGCCCAGUGCUGGGGAGCUCUGAGGGGCCCAGGCGACACAGACUGGGGCCCGAGGAGCCUCCCCCAGUGUCUCAACCAUGAGAGGAAGUUGCAAGACGGCCAUUUCUGUACACGGGCUCAGCUUUUUUUGGUCAACUUUCCCAGUGCUUGGUCUGAGGCCUCAGUUUUCCCCUAUACUCUGUCAGUCCCCAUAGAGACCAGUCGCUGGGACUGUGGGGACGGGCGCCAUUCCCUUAUUUUAGAGCUCUUUUGGGAUGAGGUUAAGGGAUCUGCAAGUUCAAGGUCUUGUCAGCUUCGAGGACGCAGCACCCACGUUUCCUGUUGCCUGCUCACCCUGAGAUUGCAAUAGUCCCCAGUCUACCCCCUCAGCAGCCCAGUCCAAUGAGGGCAAAGGGCCGCCUGGCCCUCCACCACCCAGGCCUGCCUGGCCUCCCUGGCACUCCACAGGGCUGCCCACGUGUCCUAUGGAGUGGGUAAAUAACACUGUCAUGCUGCUGGUAGGAGGGAAAGUUGUUACAACUUUCAUCGAGGGCAAUAGGACGUAUCUCUAUCUCAAAAUUUAAAGUGCGGUACGACUAGGGGCACCUGGGUGGCUCAGUUGGUUAAGUGUCCAGCUGGCUCAGGUCAUGAUCUCACUGUUCACGGGUUCGAAACCCACAUUGGACUCCGUGCUGACAGCCUGGAGCCUGUUUCCGAUUCUGUGCCUCCCUCUCUCUCUGCCCCUCCCCGCCCCCCCCCCCACUCAUGUUGUCUCUGUCUCUCAAAAAUAAACAUUAAAAAAAAUUUUUUUAAACGUUUAUUUAUUACUGAGAGACAGAGAGACACAGAGCGUGAGCAGGGAAGGGGUAGAGAGAGGGGGAGACACAGAAUCGGAAGCAGGCUCCAGGCUCUGAGCUGUCAGCCCAGAACCUGACACAAGGCUCGAGCUCACAAACUGUGAGAUCAUGACCUGAGCCGAAGUUGGUUGCCCAACCAACUGAGCCACCCAGGUGCCCCUAAAAAAAUUUUGUUUAAAUGCAAUACAACUAAAACUAAUAAAGUACUAUGCAUCAAUUAGGACUCGAUAAAAACAACAACAACAACAACACAUCUCCUUUGACGUCAAAAGAAGGGAGUCAAAAAUUCCUGUGCACCUAUGUUAUAGAAUCUAAAGUAUCUGUUUUUUUUUUACAGUGAGUUAGAAUAUGACAGAUAUGUCAUUUUCAAUAUUACUUAUAAUUGAAGGGCUUUUAAUUUCUAUUUUAGAUUUUCUGAUACUAUUUAUUAGUGUCUAUAAGGAGGUCACGGGGUUUUGAUUCAGCUUCCAUUUAGUUGUGGUGAUUUUCUUUUUCUUUUUCUAUUUUAAAGAGAGACAGGGAGAGAGUGCACAAGUGGGGGGAGGGGCAGAGGAGAGAGAGAGAGAGAGAAAGAGAGAGAGAGAGAGAGAGAGAGAGAGAAUCUUAAGCAGGCUCCAUACCCAGCAUGGAGCCCGAUGCAGGGCUCGAUCCCUAGACCCUGGGAUCAUGACCUGAGCCGAAAUCAUGACCCGGAUACUCAACAGACUGAGCCACCCCGGCGUCCUGGUUGUAGUGAUUUUCUUUCUAGUACCAAUCUCUUAACCAUCAAGAUUAACCUUGAAAAAUUAAAUAUAGAAAAAGGAGAAUUUAUAGCAUUUAACUUCCCUUCAAACAUUUACUUCCACAGUAGUGGGCCUUUCUCCUACAUUGUUUUCAUUGAAGGCAGAAAGUGACGUUCUGUUAUUUGUGUUGAACGGUGCUUUUUUAGAGACAAGCAAAAAGCAUAAGAGCAGACAUCCUGAGUCAGUGUUACCAGUCCAUCCAGCCCAGGAAACGUGUAACUCAGAUCUUCCCUAUAUUCCCUCUAGCUUCCCUAAAAAAAAAAAGACACACACUAGGAUAUGUGCAAACUAGAAAAUUUUAUAGAUUGUAUUAUGAUUUGUAACAGCAAAAGACUGGAAACAACCCAAAUGUCCACAUCAAUGAAAGACUGUUUAUUUUUUU